AGCGCUUAGCCCUCGGUGGAGGGAAGCAAAGGGCAAGAGGAAUCCAUGUAAAGUCACUUGUCAGAGUAACCAAGGCAGGUCCUUUGAAAGGUAUUCCAGAAGAAGUCAUUGUUUUCCA
rnacentral:lncRNA from 13 species